UAAUGGGUCAGCGACUUAUAUUCUGUAGCAAGGUUAACCGUAUAGGGGAGCCGAAGGGAAACCGAGUCUUAACUGGGCGUUAAGUUGCAGGGUAUAGACCCGAAACCCGGUGAUCUAGCCAUGGGCAGGUUGAAGGUUGGGUAACACUAACUGGAGGACCGAACCGACUAAUGUUGAAAAAUUAGCGGAUGACCUGUGGCUGGGGGUGAAAGGCCAAUCAAACCGGGAGAUAGCUGGUUCUCCCCGAAAGCUAUUUAGGUAGCGCCUCGUGAACUCAUCUUCGGGGGUAGAGCACUGUUUCGGCUAGGGGGCCAUCCCGGCUUACCAACCCGAUGCAAACUACGAAUACCGAAGAAUGUUAUCACGGGAGACACACGGCGGGUGCUAACGUCCGUCGUGAAGAGGGAAACAACCCAGACCGCCAGCUAAGGUCCCAAAGUCAUGGUUAAGUGGGAAACGAUGUGGGAAGGCACAGACAGCCAGGAUGUUGGCUUAGAAGCAGCCAUCAUUUAAAGAAAGCGUAAUAGCUCACUGGUCGAGUCGGCCUGCGCGGAAGAUGUAACGGGGCUAAACCAUG
rnacentral:rRNA from 3 species